rnacentral:tRNA from 1 species
GGUGGCUCAGUGGUAGAGUGCUUGCCUAGCAUGCAUGAAGCCCUGGGUUUGAUUCCCAGGACCA